rnacentral:rRNA from 1 species
CAGCCGUAAACUAUGCUCGCUAGGUGUCAGGCAUGGCGCGACCGUGUCUGGUGCCGCAGGGAAGCCGUGAAGCGAGCCACCUGGGAAGUACGGCCGCAAGGCUGAACUUAAAGGAAUUGGCGGGGGAGCACAACAACGGGUGGAGCCUGCGGUUUAAUUGGACUCAACGCCGGGAAGCUCACCGGAUAAGACAGCGGAAUGAUUGCCGGGCUGAAGACCCUGCAUGACUAGCUGAGAGGUGGUGCAUGGCGUAGACGUCU